CCUACGGGAGGCAGCAGUGGGGAAUAUUGGGCAAUGGGCGAAAGCCUGACCCAGCAACGCCGCGUGAAGGAUGAAGGUUUUCGGAUUGUAAACUUCUUUGACCAAGGACGAUAAUGACGGUACUUGGAAAACAAGCCACGGCUAACUACGUGCCAGCAGCCGCGGUAAUACGUAGGUGGCGAGCGUUGUCCGGAUUUACUGGGUGUAAAGGGCGUGUAGGCGGGAGAUCAAGUCAGAUGUGAAAUACCGCAGCUUAACUGCGGGGCUGCAUUUGAAACUGAACUUCUUGAGUGAUGGAGAGGCAAGCGGAAUUCCUAGUGUAGCGGUGAAAUGCGUAGAUAUUAGGAGGAACACCAGUGGCGAAGGCGGUUUGCUGGACAUUAACUGACGCUGAGGCGCGAAAGCGUGGGGAGCAAACAGGCUUAGAUACCCCGGUAGUC
rnacentral:rRNA from 1 species